UAAUACAUGCAAGUCGAACGAGUUCUCGUUGAUGAUCGGUGCUUGCACCGAGAUUCAACAUGGAACGAGUGGCGGACGGGUGAGUAACACGUGGGUAACCUGCCCUUAAGUGGGGGAUAACAUUUGGAAACAGAUGCUAAUACCGCAUAGAUCCAAGAACCGCAUGGUUCUUGGCUGAAAGAUGGCGUAAGCUAUCGCUUUUGGAUGGACCCGCGGCGUAUUAGCUAGUUGGUGAGGUAAUGGCUCACCAAGGCGAUGAUACGUAGCCGAACUGAGAGGUUGAUCGGCCACAUUGGGACUGAGACACGGCCCAAACUCCUACGGGAGGCAGCAGUAGGGAAUCUUCCACAAUGGACGCAAGUCUGAUGGAGCAACGCCGCGUGAGUGAAGAAGGCUUUCGGGUCGUAAAACUCUGUUGUUGGAGAAGAAUGGUCGGCAGAGUAACUGUUGUCGGCGUGACGGUAUCCAACCAGAAAGCCACGGCUAACUACGUGCCAGCAGCCGCGGUAAUACGUAGGUGGCAAGCGUUAUCCGGAUUUAUUGGGCGUAAAGCGAGCGCAGGCGGUUUUUUAAGUCUGAUGUGAAAGCCCUCGGCUUAACCGAGGAAGCGCAUCGGAAACUGGGAAACUUGAGUGCAGAAGAGGACAGUGGAACUCCAUGUGUAGCGGUGAAAUGCGUAGAUAUAUGGAAGAACACCAGUGGCGAAGGCGGCUGUCUGGUCUGUAACUGACGCUGAGGCUCGAAAGCAUGGGUAGCGAACAGGAUUAGAUACCCUGGUAGUCCAUGCCGUAAACGAUGAAUGCUAGGUGUUGGAGGGUUUCCGCCCUUCAGUGCCGCAGCUAACGCAUUAAGCAUUCCGCCUGGGGAGUACGACCGCAAGGUUGAAACUCAAAGGAAUUGACGGGGGCCCGCACAAGCGGUGGAGCAUGUGGUUUAAUUCGAAGCAACGCGAAGAACCUUACCAGGUCUUGACAUCUUUUGAUCACCUGAGAGAUCAGGUUUCCCCUUCGGGGGCAAAAUGACAGGUGGUGCAUGGUUGUCGUCAGCUCGUGUCGUGAGAUGUUGGGUUAAGUCCCGCAACGAGCGCAACCCUUAUGACUAGUUGCCAGCAUUUAGUUGGGCACUCUAGUAAGACUGCCGGUGACAAACCGGAGGAAGGUGGGGAUGACGUCAAAUCAUCAUGCCCCUUAUGACCUGGGCUACACACGUGCUACAAUGGAUGGUACAACGAGUUGCGAGACCGCGAGGUCAAGCUAAUCUCUUAAAGCCAUUCUCAGUUCGGACUGUAGGCUGCAACUCGCCUACACGAAGUCGGAAUCGCUAGUAAUCGCGGAUCAGCACGCCGCGGUGAAUACGUUCCCGGGCCUUGUACACACCGCCCGUCACACCAUGAGAGUUUGUAACACCCGAAGCCGGUGGCGUAACCCUUUUAGGGAGCGAGCCG
rnacentral:rRNA from 2 species